rnacentral:lncRNA from 1 species
UUUUAUUUUUUAGUAUUUUUUUUGAGAAAACAAGCCGUUCCUGAGCAAAUAUAACAUGCUACUUCUCUUUCAAACAAAAGAAAAGAAAAACAAAAGAAAAGAAAAGGUUAGUACCCGAGACCCAAGUUCAAAUCCUAGUUGAUUCACAUUUCCAGUUAAGUUUAUUUCUAAGUGAAAUAAACGAAGCGGGUAACGUGCUAUCUAUCUCUCUCAA